AUUGAACGCUGGCGGCAGGCCUAACACAUGCAAGUCGAACGAGUGGCGGACGGGUGAGUAAUGUCUGGGAAACUGCCUGAUGGAGGGGGAUAACUCCUGGAAACGGUCGCUAAUACCGCAUACCAUCAGAUGUGCCCAGAUGGGGUUAGCUAGUUGGUGGGGUAAAGGCUUACCAAGGCGACGAUCCCUAGCUGGUCUGAGAGGAUGACCAGCCACACUGGAACUGAGACACGGGCCAGACUCCUACGGGAGGCAGCAGUGGGGAAUAUUGCACAAUGGGCGCAAGCCUGAUGCAGCCAUGCCGCGUGUAUGAAGAAGGCCUUCGGGUUGUAAAGUACUUUCAGCGGCGAGGCGUUACCCGCAGAAGAAGCACCGGCUAACUCCGUGCCAGCAGCCGCGGUAAUAC
rnacentral:rRNA from 1 species